CCGAUGUGUACAAAACUGCUAGGUUAGGUCUCUUGGCCUUGGAUUUACGUUGCACAGUUAAUUCCUUACUGUCACAACACUCCUUUCUGCAAUGGCCGAUGAGUCCAAUAGAACUGCGUUUUUAGAGAUUCAGAGUCGCAUGAUCGAAACUACUGCCAAAUUGAAGCAGGUGCAAAACCAGAUGCGAACCAAGGAGGGAGAAAAGAAGCGUGCUUACUUGACAUUGGAGGAGUUGCGCCAACUGCCUGACGAUACAAAUACUUACAAAUCUAUAGGGAGAACGUUUGUCUUGGAGCCAAAGUCUGUUUUAAUGAGUGAACAAGAACAGAAGCUAAAGGAUAGUGAGAAUGCAAUAGCCUCACUGCAGACCUCAAAGGAAUACUUGGAAAAGCAAAUGGCCGAGGUAGAGAACAACUUGAGGGAGCUUUUGCACCAAGAUCCAGGUCUUGCUCGUCAGAUAAUGUCCAUGAGUGUAAUGUAAGUUUGCUGCUUUCCCCAACUUAGUACAAUGUGUUUUACAUUUGAAGGGAAGUUGUAAGUUAUGAUAAGAAAUGUGUUGAAAUUUCUGGAAUGAAUGCUCAUGUAAUUGCUUUUCUGGAUAGUUUAAAUUGUCUGUAAUUUAGGUUAACCAGGCUUUUCUCUCUUAUAUGAUGGUAUGGUAUUUUUUUUUGCAGACAAUUUAAACUAUCCAGAAAAGCAA
rnacentral:misc_RNA from 1 species